rnacentral:lncRNA from 1 species
AAUUUAUUCAACAGGCUUGCCAGAUGUUUUAUGGGCACUGAUUUUGAAGCAUUUUAGUAUUGAAGAGUUCCUUUUUGAGAGGAAUAUACGAUAUAAGAGAGACCAGAAGGAAUGUGCUGACAGUAGCAGAAAAGAAGAAGUAAGUACCUAUUUAAAUAUUUUGCAUUCAACUGACUUUGAGGACAAAUUCUAUAUAAUAGUUCAAAUAGUAUUUGAUGAGGUAUUAAGAACUUUUUUUGCACAAGUUAUGCUAAAGCAUGAGUCCUAA